AUGAGUCAUUCAAGUGCAUUGUUAAACCUAAGGGGGUGUCAUGGGCACCCCCAACUUUGUAGUUGGCCAGGCAGAAGUGUGGGUGUCCUGGGAAUUGCAUUUGCAGUUGGGUCUGAAUGGGGGCAGUCUUGUGGGAUGGAGCCUCACCCUGUGGGGGCUGAGUAACUCUAGGUGUUCAGUGUCAGAAUGGAAUUGAAUUGUUUGACAUGCAGUUGGUGUCAGAGAAUUGGUAUUGGAAAGAUGUAAUGGCGUUAUGAAAACCACAUGGGCUCAUUCUUAGCACCCUUCCACUGCCCAUUCUUUUCUGUGCCCGUUGUUUUCUGAGCUGCCCUUUGAAUGACAGGACCUGCUUGUGUUGGGACAGAAGAGUGGCGAGAAAGACCUCCUCGGAGGCCUGGGGCAUGUGUGAUGCUCCAGUGAAAACAACAGAAUCAGGGUGUGAGCAGGCAUCUCCGUGGAUUUGCCAGACGCAAUUUACCAAUCUUCUCAGCACAGACUCUUACAAAGACUGCAUUCCUGACUAUGUCACAGAGCCCAGGAGGGCAGGCAGAAAGCAUAAACCACCCGUGUGAGCAGAGGAAGGUGGCGAGGAGAAGUCGUGUAAGGACCCUUUAAUGGAUAUGUAAAUGGCAUCAGUGAGGGAGACUAAAUGGCAGUGGAGUGUUGCUUAGAGGCGUUUUAUGCAUUUUAUGAUGUUUUGUGCAUUUGAAAAUACUGGUAACAGGAAGAGAGGGACCCUAUCACAAUUCUGGUCUCUCAUUAUUUGUACAUAAUAAGCAUAUCCAUUAUCGUUAUUUAGACCACUUGCUAGUCUGAAUUUUUCCAGAAAUGAUGUUUUCCCAGAAUGUCUAGGACUUCCUCUCUCAUACUGAGUUGCUGAGCUUGGAGUCUGCUGCAGGUUAGAGUCUGAAGCCAACUUUGUCACGAGGUGUCUCAGCCAGAAUACUGAGCUGCUCAGGGUCACCUGCCCAGGAAAGCAGCCAGGGAAUUCCUGGGCAUUGAGACCACACGGGAACGUGAGCAUCUAUUGCUAGAGAGCUGUGCAGUGUGGGACAGGCAGUCCGAAGAUUUUUAAAAGAAGCAGCUGCACACAUUGUCUGUUUCACCACUCAUGGGCAGGUGGAAAGCUGAUCCUGAAGAGGUAAAGUUGUUGGCUGGCCACAGGCAGGGGAGGGGGAACCCGCUCCCUUAGGCCUUUGUUGCUGUGCUGGGUGAAGGUUGUGGAGAAGCCUUGCCUCUAGAAAGAGAGGACAGGAAGAGAGCAGUGAUGCCUUAGGAAAAGAAAAAACUGCAAGUUACUGAGCUCUGACCACGGGCCAACACCUGUCAGUGCUUGAUGUCAGCCACAGCCCUGAGGGACAAGGGCAUGGAGCCUGGGUCCGUGAAGUGAGCUCUCUAAGGUCGGAGGUGAAGCGAGGGGGGCAUGUGCAGUGUGAACUGGGGGCUCUGACUGCAAGUGCUGUCCACCAUUGGAUCCAGGUGGCUGGGCAUACUCUCACUGUCCAGACGAUGACUGGAUUCGGGGGUCUUUUCUGGUGCCAGUGUUCCAGUGUUUGUCAGCAGCUCUGGUUUUUGUUGGUCCCUUAUCACCAAAGACCACUUCCCCUUUGCCCUUGUGGGGGAUGUGAAGGGUGGCCCUGAAUCACGCACUUCCACUUCCUCUGGUCUUCGCUGGAGCUCUGAAAAGGGGUGAACACCAAACACUACUAUUCUGGGCUGAUGGCGUUCAAUCUGGCCUUCUGUGCACCUGGAGCUUGGGCAGCUCAUCUUGGUCUUGCUGAUGGCACUGUUUUCCAGUGGCUGAAGGAGCAGGUGAUGCUCUGUUUUGUUGCAUGUUCUGUGCUUUCUGCAGACUCCCCUGGUCACACUUGGGCCUGGGAGCUGCAUGGUCACCCAGACAGGGCAUGUCUCAGCCUGCCAGCCUUGGAAGGAAACAUCCCCAACUCAUCAGUGAGUCCUUGCCGCAUCCUAUGACCUUCCGGGUCCCAGGGCCCAGAGCACACCUGCCCCUCAUGAGACUUUCCUCAGCUGGGAUUUAAGUCUGAAUUUCUUAAGAGGAAAGGAGCAGGUCCACAAGGACUCAGAGGCUACAGCAAGUGUCCAGUGAAGCUGUCACAUAUGAUUAAGAAGAGAAAGAAGCCUGUCCCAUGUUCCGGGAUGGACUGGUCUGGCUGCUUAAGGCAGCUACGCUGAAUAAAAUGAUAUGACAAUGCCCCAUGUCUUGAAACUUCAGCUUCCUCCUCUUCAUCCAGGAGCCUCCACCCUGGUCUGAAGCUGUCCCUUCUAUCCUAAGGCCUUCCUUGCCUUCAGAACCCAUGGUCUGUCAGGCCUACCGGUUCCUCAUUCCCCCAGAUAGAGGUGUGAGGGAGGAGCUCUUCCCACCUUCUGCAGACAGGCAGACUGAGGCUUGAGCAUCUGUGGCUUGCUUUUGAGGACACAAGGGAGGUGGGGGGCCUAGCUGGAGCCAGGUCUUUAGAUCACGGCUCUGGGCUUUCCGCCCACCUCACCCUGACUCCUCGUCUAGCCUCAUCCCCGAUUUCCCCAUUAGACACCUGCUCUCUACCAGGAGACCAAGCAGGAAGGUCCUUAGCACCCUUGGGAAAUCUUCUGUUCUUGGGGUACAUUUGGAGUGAUUUCCAGAACGACACCAUCCCCCACCUCCUGAUGUCCUCACCCAGGUGUCCCACAGGCAUGUCUGUCCUUCCUUGCCCAAAAGGGACCCCACCAUCUCCCCCAUCAACAGCUCUUCCCUUUGUUAGACCCCCACCUCUAACCCAACACCCUGAUCAGAGCCUGCUGCUGAGCUUAUCCACACACCUGCCUUCCAGUGGCCUCUCCUUCCUCCCAGCUCUCAUCCCUCCCUUCUCUUCACUUUUGCCACGCCUCAGGCACUGAUCAUUUCUUACCAUGACCGUUGAAACUAUCUCGGACGGGUCCCCCGCUGUGGCAUCCCCGCUCCACGUGGCCCUGGGUGCCUUGCCCUCUCUCACUCGCAGUCUUAGGAACCUAUUCUGGUAACGUGAGCGAUGGGAGUGCACCGGAGUGUGUGAGUUUGCCGGUGGAUUUGCAGAGGGCUGGCGAGCCAGGCCUGGAGCUGGCAGGUGUGAGGGGCUCCCUGGAAAAGACGAACCCAUCUCCCUCACUUCGCCGUGUCACACCAGGUGUCCACUAGAGUUGCCAACUGCGACAGUGUCCGGAGGUAAGGAGGUGGAGCCUGCCCCAGGGUAUGACUUCCCAGGAUCCAGGGCAAAGGAUCUGAGAGGAGAACCAGGCAAUGGACAGGGUCUUUGCUAGUAAGACACAAUCAGGGCUAGGAAGGUCCUGCUCAUGAGUUCUCUGGCUGGGGCUCUGAAAGAGACUGACAAAGGCAGAUUAACGAGAGAAAAACAGACACGAGUUUAUUACCACGUGCAUCACGCACACCCAUGGGAACGUCCGCAGCCUGACUCCAUUUGUCCCACUUUCCAAUAUUCCAUGUGGAUAGCCUAGAACCAUCUAAGAGAUAAGGCACCCAGAUCACAAACCACAGGACUCGGAAUUCUCUGCUUGUCUCCUAAUUAGAAGCCAUUGAAGAGUCAGUGGACUGAAUACAAAUUAACCAUUAGAUCAACUGAAAAUGUCAAGUUUAGAUGAAUCUGAGUUCUCAUUUAGAUAUUUUCUGGCUGUUGGCCCAGCCCCCAAAAUAAAUACACAUUUGAAAGUUA